rnacentral:rRNA from 1 species
UUNAGUGGGGAAUAACUGUUGGAAACGACAGCUAAUACCGCAUAAUAUUGCUGGAUAAUUUCCAGUAAUGAAAGGAGCUUUCAAGCUCCGCUGAUUGAUGAGGAUGCGGCGCAUUAGCUAGUUGGUAGGGUAAUGGCCUACCAAGGCAAUGAUGCGUAGCCGAUCUGAGAGGAUGAACGGCCACAUUGGGACUGAGACACGGCCCAAACUUCUACGGAAGGCAGCAGUAGGGAAUUUUUCACAAUGGGCGAAAGCCUGAUGGAGCAAUGCCGCGUGACUGAUGAAGGUCUUCGGAUUGUAAAGGUCUGUUGUAAGGGAAGAAAUGGUAAAACAGGAAAUGGUUUUAUCUAUGACGGUACCUUACCAGAAAGCCACGGCUAACUAUGUGCCAGCAGCCGCGGUAAUACAUAGGUGGCAAGCGUUAUCCGGAUUUAUUGGGCGUAAAGGGUGCGUAGACGGUUUUGCAAGUCUGANGUUAAAUUUAGGAGCUCAACUCCUAAUCGCCUUGGAAACUACNAGACUAGAGUAUAGGAGAGGUUAGUGGAAUUCCAUGUGUAGCGGUGGAAUGUGUAGAUAUAUGGAGGAACACCAGUGGCGAA